rnacentral:rRNA from 1 species
CUUACGGGUACGGGGAUUAGGGUUCGAUUCCGGAGAGGGAGCCUGAGAAACGGCUACCACAUCCAAGGAAGGCAGCAGGCGCGCAAAUUACCCAAUCCCGAUACGGGGAGGUAGUGACAAUAAAUAACAAUACAGGGCUCUUAUGGGUCUUGUAAUUGGAAUGAGUACAAUUUAAAUCCCUUAACGAGGAACAAUUGGAGGGCAAGUCUGGUGCCAGCAGCCGCGGUAAUUCCAGCUCCAAUAGCGUAUAUUAAAGUUGUUGCAGUUAAAAAGCUCGUAGUUGAAUUUCGGGGUUCUACCGUUGGUCGGGCAAUAGUCUGUACUGGCGUGUGGAAUUUCUACCUUCUGGGGAACCRUCAUGUUAUUUAUUUAGCGUGGUGGGAAACCAGGACCUUUACCUUGAAAAAAUUAGAGUGUUCAAAGCAGGCUUACGUCUGAAUACAUUAGCAUGGAAUAAUAAAAUAGGACGGUGGUCCUGUUUUGUUGGUUUCUGAAUCACCGUAAUGAUUAAUAGGGAUAGUUGGGGGCAUUAGUAUUCAAUUGUCAGAGGUGAAAUUCUUGGAUUUAUUGAAGACUAACUUCUGCGAAAGCAUUUGCCAAGGAUGUUUUCAUUAAUCAAGAACGAAAGUUAGGGGAUCGAAGACGAUCAGAUACCGUCGUAGUCUUAACCAUAAACUAUGCCGACUAGGGAUCGGACGAUGUUAAUUUUUCUUGACUCGUUCGGCGCCUUACGGGAAACCAAAUUUUUNKGGGNUUNC